rnacentral:rRNA from 1 species
AUUGAACGCUGGCGGCAGGCCUAACACAUGCAAGUCGAACGAGUGGCGGACGGGUGAGUAAUGUCUGGGAAACUGCCUGAUGGAGGGGGAUAACUACUGGAAACGGUAGCUAAUACCGCAUACCAUCAGAUGUGCCCAGAUGGGAUUAGCUUUGUGGUGGGGUAACGGCUCACCAAGGCGACGAUCCCUAGCUGGUCUGAGAGGAUGACCAGCCACGCUGUAACUUGGACACGGUCCAGACUCCUACGGGCGGCAGCAGUGGCAAAUCUUGCACAAGGGGCGCAAGCCUGAUGCAGCCAUGCCGCGUGUAUGAAGAAGGCCUUCGGGUUGUAAAGUACUUUCAGCGGGUAGGCGUUACCCGCAGAAGAAGCACCGGCUAACUCCGUGCCAGCAGCCGCGGUAAUUC